ACGUACAAAACGUACGCUCCGGUUGUUGCGCGCUGGCCGUACCCAGCCUGCACCCGCUCGCUACGCCGGCUGACC
rnacentral:sRNA from 1 species